CUAGGUGGCUAUAGAGAGAGGGAAACGCCUGGCCCCAUUCCGAACCCAGAAGCUAAGCCUCUCAUCGCUGAUAAUACUGCA
rnacentral:rRNA from 1 species